rnacentral:tRNA from 1 species
GAAUAUGAAGUGAUACAUCACAAUUAGUUUCGACCUAACUCUAGGUAAAUUUACCCUUAUUCU